rnacentral:lncRNA from 1 species
CUCGUCUUGCUCUUUUUUGGGGUCGUUUUUGGGGACGCUGUUUUUUCCAGGCGGCCCUCGAAUGGCCUCCCGACCUCCAAGGACAAGGAGAACACACACAGGAAGAGGAAACUCUUCCUUUUUGUCACCACGCGACUCCCCACUUAGCAGUUUUUAUAAGCCAUUGAGGGACGAAACAGUGGGCGGGGAUAGAAGGUUAUUAUUAUAAUUUGGUAGGAUGUCGGAACAAGUGGAAGAGCUCUAAACGAAUAGAAGGGUAUUAUAAUAAUAAUUUGGUAGGAUGUCGGAACAAGAGGAAGAGCUCUAACGGAUAGGAAGUUAUUAUAUAAAUAAAUUGGAAGGAUGGUCGGGACAAGAGGAGAGCUCAAGGUUUAUAUAAAUAAUAAUUUGGUAAGGAUGUCCGGAACAGGCGGAAAAGCUCCUAACGGGAUAGAAGGUUAUUAUAAUAAUUUGAUAGGAUGUCGGAACAAGCGGAAGAGCUCUAACGGAUAGAAGGUUAUUAUAAUAAUAAUUUGGUAGGAUGUCGGAACAAGAGGAAGAGCUCUAAGGUUAUUAUAAUAAUUUGGUAGGAUGUCGGAACAAGAGGAAGAGCUCUAACGGAUAGAAGGUUAUUAUAAUAAUAAUGUGGUAGGAUGUCGGAACAAGAGGAAGAGCUCUAAUGGAUAGAAGGUUAUUAUAAUAAUAAUUUGGUAGGAUGUCGGAACAAGAGGAAGAGCUCUAAGGUUAUUAUUAUAAUAAUUUGGUAGGAUGUCGGAACAAGCGGAAGAGCUCUAAGGUUAUUAUAAUAAUCUGGUAGGAUGUCGGAACAAGAGGAAGAGCUCUAAGGUUAUAAUAAUAAUAAUAAUUUGGUAGGAUGUCGGAACAAGCAGAAGAGCUCUAACGGAUAGAAGGUUAUUAUAAUAAUAAUUUGGUAGGAUGUCGGAACAAGCGGAAGAGCUCUAAGGUUAUUAUAAUAAUAAUUUGGUAGGAUGUCGGAACAAGAGGAAGAGCUCUAACUGAUAGAAGGUUAUUAUAAUAAUAAUUUGUUAGGAUGUCGGAACAAGCGGAAGAGCUCUAACCACCGACCUGUCACUCACCCUUUCCUUUCCUUUGAAGUGCAAUAACUUUUUGUCGCGUGUUUUGGGGGAGACGCGGACGUGU